rnacentral:rRNA from 1 species
GAUGAACGCUGGCGGCGUGCCUAAUACAUGCAAGUCGAACGAACAGACGCGGAGCUUGCUCCUCUGACGUUAGCGGCGGACGGGUGUGUAACACGUGUAUCACCUACCUAUAAGACUGGGAUCACUUCGGGACACCGGAGCUAAUACCGGAUAAUCUAUUGAACCGCAUGGGUCAAUAGUGAAAGACGGUUUUGCUGUCACUUCUAGAUGGAUACGCGCCUCAUUAUCUAGUUGGUAAGGUAACGGCUUACCAAGGGAACGAUGCGUAGCCGACCUGAGAGGGUGAUCGGCGACACUGGAAGUGAGAGACGAUACAGACGCCGACGUGAGGCAGCAGUAGGGAAUCGGCCGAAAUGGGCGAAAGCCUGAAGGAGCAGCGGCGCGUGAGUGAAGAAGGUCUUCGGAUCGUAAAACGCUGUUAGUAGGGAAGAACAAAUGUGUAAGUAACUAUGCACGUCUGGACGGUACCUAAUCAGAAAGCCACGGCUAACUACGU